rnacentral:rRNA from 1 species
UGCCAGCCGCCGCGGUAAUACAGAGGUCCCGAGCGUUGUUCGGAUUUACUGGGCGUAAAGGGUGCGUAGGCGGUUGUGUAAGUCAGAUGUGAAAUCCCCGGGCUCAACCUGGGAACUGCAUUUGAGACUGCACGGCUAGAGUGUGACAGAGGGGGGUAGAAUUCCACGUGUAGCAGUGAAAUGCGUAGAGAUGUGGAGGAAUACCGAUGGCGAAGGCAGCCCCCUGGGUUACUACUGACGCUCAUGCACGAAAGCGUGGGGAGCAAACAGGAUUAGAUA